GCACCGGCGAUAUGGAGAGAGCCCCUUUUCUCUUCUGCAUUUACCUUUCCUCCUCCUUUCGCUCUGAGACAAUCCUGUACACGCUUCGUUCGGCCGAUCGCUCUCUCCCUCCUCUCCGCACUGCUGCGCCCUCUCCUCGACUCCUCGUCCCCUCGUCUCGCCUGCUUCGUCUUUCCCGCGUCACGGUCUAUUGCGAUGGGACUCCUUUGCUCGAUGGGCGCCCCUGGUUGAGUCUGGUUUGUUUGCCAUUGUUGACUGCGUCAAACCAUGGAUCCUUCUGUCCUUACCAAUGAGUUCAGGCUGUUCUUCUCGUUUGUCCUCCUGCGUAGCUUGCGUCUUCUCCUUCUAGCUCAGGUUGUACAUCUUGUCUGUUGCUCCAUCUCCUCUCCGUUCUGCUCGUUGUUGCAUUUGCGUUCUGCUCAUCAAGGUUUGCUGCUCUCCGCUCUGCCUACCUUCGUGUUGUGCUUCCUGUAUGUGCUACAUAUUGUCUAGUCUGCUAAUUGUUUUAAUAUGUAUUAUGUAUAUGGCCGACCGUCGUCUGCUCUUCGUUCUUUUGUUUAUUAUAACCCGUGCUCGCGUGUGAGCAGGAUGUGUGCAUUUGUUUCAGUCAUUGUACCUAUUUUGGCUCUUUCCGUCUGUGGUCGCUUUUGUAUCUAUGUGAGGUCGCAGAGGACGGGUCUGCCCUUAUUGGGGUAGUGCUCGAGCUUCCUGGGGACGGUUCUGGUCCAGUGCGACGAAUGGAGUUCUUUUGGAGCUCUGCCUGGUGUUGUUUCAUGAACGCCUAUGAACAAGAUGCUCUACAUGACAUACGUUAUUUACAAGUGAUAAUGUUGACCAUUUACGGCAAGGGUUAGGCAAAUAUUUUGUCCUGUAGAAUGUAUUACCAGUUCUUAACACACCCCAGUAAUUUUAUUUGCGUUUUUAAUGCAUCACAUGAUUUCUUUUAUAACAAGGCAUCCUCCAAAGCAAUUUCACGAGAUCAGCAGAGUCAGUUCUCGACAAAUCGCUAUAAGAUAUGAAAGAGACAAGCGACAGAAGAAUCCAAUGGAAGAAUUUGGUGAAGAACAAGGAAAGGGAAAGGAGGCCACACUGAUGCUUUUCAGGUAAAUGCUUCUUCAUAUUUUUCUUCUAUUGGUGCGUUGGGAUUCAUAUGUGUCAUCAGGUUUACUUGCUCAAGUCUCGCAUCUCCCACUUAUUGAACACCAUGCCCAUGCAUAUCACAAUCUCUUUUGUUCCAAGAUUUUCCUUUGGCUGUAACUCUUCCAAUUUAACUUGAUUAUCCAAUAUAUACUGCUCUUUGGAUCCAUGGGAUCCGUCAGGCAAACUGUCCCUUACAUCUUUAUUUGGUUUUUCUUUGGGUUUCUUGGCGGAGUGGCUAGAUUUGGAGUGAGAAUCGUUUUUCCUCUCUUUAACUCCAGCAGAGAAAACGAGCACCCUUGUCAACACCCAGAAGAUCAGAAGAUGUUGGAACAUUCUUCUUUUGUUCCCUGUGAAUUCUUUUGGCCUCAAUCUUGUGUUAUUUUUCACAUUUGUAUCACAAAGUGAAGUCUCUUUGCUAAUAACGUUGUCCAUGCUCCUGCAAACAACAUGGGCUUAUUCA